AUGGACGCAAGUCUGAUGGAGCAACGCCGCGUGAGUGAAGAAGGGUUUCGGCUCGUAAAGCUCUGUUGGUAGUGAAGAAAGAUAGAGGUAGUAACUGGCCUUUAUUUGACGGUAAUUACUUAGAAAGUCACGGCUAACUACGUGCCAGCAGCCGCGGUAAUACGUAGGUGGCAAGCGUUGUCCGGAUUUAUUGGGCGUAAAGCGAGUGCAGGCGGUUCAAUAAGUCUGAUGUGAAAGCCUUCGGCUCAACCGGAGAAUUGCAUCAGAAACUGUUGAACUUGAGUGCAGAAGAGGAGAGUGGAACUCCAUGUGUAGCGGUGGAAUGCGUAGAUAUAUGGAAGAACACCAGUGGCGAAGGCGGCUCUCUGGUCUGCAACUGACGCUGAGGCUCGAAAGCAUGGGUAGCGAACAGGAUUAGAUACCCUGGUAGUCCAUGCCGUAAACGAUGAGUGCUAAGUGUUGGGAGGUUUCCGCCUCUCAGUGCUGCAGCUAACGCAUUAAGCACUCCGCCUGGGGAGUACGACCGCAAGGUUGAAACUCAAAGGAAUUGACGGGGGCCCGCACAAGCGGUGGAGCAUGUGGUUUAAUUCGAAGCAACGCGAAGAACCUUACCAGGUCUUGACAUCCAGUGCAAACCUAAGAGAUUAGGAGUUCCCU
rnacentral:rRNA from 1 species